rnacentral:rRNA from 1 species
AUUGAACGCUGGCGGCAGGCCUAACACAUGCAAGUCAAGCGGCAGCACAGAGAAACUUGUUUCUCGGGUGGCGAGCGGCGGACGGGUGAGUAAUGCCUGGGAAAUUGCCCUGAUGUGGGGGAUAACCAUUGGAAACGAUGGCUAAUACCGCAUGAUGCCUACGGGCCAAAGAGGGGGACCUUCGGGCCUCUCGCGUCAGGAUAUGCCCAGGUGGGAUUAGCUAGUUGGUGAGGUAAGGGCUCACCAAGGCGACGAUCCCUAGCUGGUCUGAGAGGAUGAUCAGCCACACUGGAACUGAGACACGGUCCAGACUCCUACGGGAGGCAGCAGUGGGGAAUAUUGCACAAUGGGCGCAAGCCUGAUGCAGCCAUGCCACGUGUGUGAAGAAGGCCUUCGGGUUGUAAAGCACUUUCAGUUGUGAGGAAGGUGGUGUCGUUAAUAGCGGCAUCAUUUGACGUUAGCAACAGAAGAAGCACCGGCUAACUCCGUGCCAGCAGCCGCGGUAAUACGGAGGGUGCGAGCGUUAAUCGGAAUUACUGGGCGUAAAGCGCAUGCAGGUGGUUUGUUAAGUCAGAUGUGAAAGCCCGGGGCUCAACCUCGGAACUGCAUUUUGAUACUGGCAGACUAAGUACUGUAAGAGGGGGGUAGAAAUUUCAGGUGUAGCGGUGAAAUGCGUAGAGAUCUUGAAGGAAUACCGGUGGCUAAGGCGGCCCCCUGGACAGACUGACACUUCAGAUGCUAAAGCGUGGGGGAGCAAACAGG